rnacentral:rRNA from 1 species
AUGGCAUGGCUUAGUUGGGAGAAGAUGCUGCUUCCGAAGGCUAUGGGAGGUAUGGGAUUUCGUGAUAUGAGGGCCUUUAAUCAAGCUUUUUUGGCCAAGCAGGCGUGGCGUCUCCUGGAUAGUCCGGACAGCUUGUGUGCUCGUUUGUUGAAGGCUAAAUACUACCCAAGGGGGAAUUUAUUGGACACGGUAUUCUCAGCUAGUUCUUCGGCGGUGUGGAAAGGUAUUGUUCAUGGACUUGAUCUUUUGAAGAAAGGCAUUAUAUGGCGAGUAGGUAAUGGUACUCACAUUAAAACAUGGAGAGAUGUU